rnacentral:sRNA from 1 species
UCAAUCCAGGGUCUAAGAUUGGGUAUGA